GACGAACGCUGGCGGCGUGCCUAAUACAUGCAAGUAGGACGCAUUUGCGAACGGGUGAGUAACGCGUAGGUAACUACCUAUUAGAGGGGGGUAACUAUUGGAAACGAUAGCUAAUACCGCAUACUAGUAGAUGGACCUACUUUGUAUUAGUUAGUAGGUAGGGUAAAGGCCUACCUAGGCAACGAUGCAUAGCCGACCUGGGAGGGUGAUCAGACACACUGGGACUGAGACACCGCCCAGAUUCCUACUGGAGGCAGCAGUAGGGAAUCUUCGGCAAUGGGGGGAACCCUGACCGAGCAACGCCGCGGGAGUUAAGAAGGUUUUCGGAUCGUAAAGCUCUGUUGUUAAGGAAGCGGUACUUAACCAGAAAGGGACGGCUAACUACGUGCCAGCAGCCGCGGUAAUUC
rnacentral:rRNA from 1 species